rnacentral:rRNA from 1 species
AGAACGAACGCUGGCGGCGCGCUUAACACAUGCAAGUCGAACGCACCGGUUUCGGCCGGUGAGUGGCGGACGGGUGAGUAACGCGUGGGAACCUGCCCUUUGGUCUGGGAUAACCGCGGGAAACCGCGGCUAAGACCGGAUAUUCCCGUGAGGGGAAAGACAUGUCGCCGAAGGAUGGGCCCGCGUCGGAUUAGGUAGUUGGUGGGGUAACGGCUCACCAAGCCUGCGAUCCGUAGCU